rnacentral:rRNA from 1 species
UGGGGAAUUUUGGACAAUGGGCGCAAGCCUGAUCCAGCCAUGCCGCGUGCGGGAAGAAGGCCUUCGGGUUGUAAACCGCUUUGUCAGGGAAGAAAUCUUCUGAGUUAAUACCUCGGGAGGAUGACGGUACCUGAAGAAUAAGCACCGGCUAACUACGUGCCAGCAGCCGCGGUAAUACGUAGGGUGCAAGCGUUAAUCGGAAUUACUGGGCGUAAAGCGUGCGCAGGCGGUUUUGUAAGACAGAGGUGAAAUCCCCGGGCUCAACCUGGGAACUGCCUUUGUGACUGCAAGGCUUGAGUGCGGCAGAGGGGGAUGGAAUUCCGCGUGUAGCAGUGAAAUGCGUAGAUAUGCGGAGGAACACCGAUGGCGAAGGCAAUCCCCUGGGCCUGCACUGACGCUCAUGCACGAAAGCGUGGGGAGCAAACAGGAUUAGAUACCCUGGUAGUCCACGCCCUAAACGAUGCUCAACUGGUUGUUGGGAAGGUUCCUUCUCAGUAACGUAGCUAACGCGUGAAGUUGACCGCCUGGGGAGUACGGCCGCAAGGUUGAAACUCAAAUGAAUUGAC